rnacentral:rRNA from 1 species
UUUGAUCGCCAAGCAGAUUGAACGCUGGCGGGAUGCUUUACAUGCAAGUCGAACGGCAGCACGGACUUCGGUCUGGUGGCGAGUGGCGAACGGGUGAGUAAUGUAUCGGAACGUGCCUAGUAGCGGGGGAUAACUACGCGAAAGCGUAGCUAAUACCACAUACGCCCUUCAGGAAAGCGGGGGACCUUCGGGCCUCGCACUAUUAGAAGCGGCCGAUAUCGGAUUAGCUAGUUGGUGGGGUAACGGCUCACCAAGGCGACGAUCCGUAGCUGGUUUGAGAGGACGACCAGCCACACUGGGACUGAGACACGGCCCAGACUCCUACGGGAGGCAGCAGUGGGGAAUUUUGGACAAUGGGGGAAACCUGAUCAGCCAUCCCGCGUGUGCGAUGAAGGCCUUCGGGUUGUAAAGCACUUUUGGCAGAGGAAAGAAACGGCACGGGAUAAUACCCCGUGCAACUGACAGUACCUGCAGAAUAAGCACCGGCUAACUACGUGCCAGCAGCCGCGGUAAUACGUAGGGUGCAAGCGUUAAUCGGAAUUACUGGGCGUAAAGCGUGCGCAGGCAGUUCGGAAAGAAAGAUGUGAAAUCCCAGAGCUUAACUUUGAGUGCAUUUUUAACUACCGAGCUAGAAGUGUCAGAGGGAGGUGGAAUUCCGCGUGUAGCAGUGAAAUGCGUAGAUAUGCGGAGGAACACCGAUGGCGAAGGCAACCUCCUGGGAUAACACUGACGCUCCAUGCACGAAAGCGUGGGAGCAAACAGGAUUAGAUACCCUGGUAGUCCACGCCCUAAACGAUGUCAACUAGCUGUUGGGGCCUUCGGGCCUUGGUAGCGCAGCUAACGCGUGAAGUUGACCGCCUGGAGAAUACGGUCGCAAGAUUAAAACUCAAAGGAAUUGUUGAGGGACCCGCACAAGCGGUGGAUGAUGUGGAUUAAUUCGAUGCAACGCGAAAAACCUUACCUACCCUUGACAUGUCUGGAAUCCCGAAGAGAUUUGGGAGUGCUCGCAAGAGAACCGGAACACAGGUGCUGCAUGGCUGUCGUCAGCUCGUGUCGUGAGAUGUUGGGUUAAGUCCGCAACGAGCGCAACCCUUGUCAUUAGUUGCUACGAAAGGGCACUCUAAUGGGGGCGCGGUGACAAACCGGAGGAAGGUGGGGAUGACGUCAAGUCCUCAUGGCCCUUAUGGGUAGGGCUUCACGUCAUACAAUGGUCGGGACAGAGGGUCGCCAACCCGCGAGGAGCCAAUCCCAGAAACCCGAUCGUAGUCCGGAUCGCAGUCUGCAACUCGACUGCGUGAAGUCGGAAUCGCUAGUAAUCGCGGAUCAGCAUGUCGCGGUGAAUACGUUCCCGGGUCUUGUACACACCGCCCGUCACACCAUGGGAGUGGGUUUUACCAGAAGUAGUUAGCCUAACCGUAAGGAGGGCGAUUACCACGGUAGGAUUCAUGACUGGGGGUGAAGUCGUAACAAGGUAG